rnacentral:rRNA from 1 species
UGCGUAGGUGGCGUGUUAAGUCAGUGGUGAAAGCCUGCAGCUCAACGGUAGAGGUGCCAUUGAUACUGACAUGCUUGAGUAUGGACGAGGUAGGCGGAAUUUGUGGUGUAGCGGUGAAAUGCAUAGAUACCACAAAGAACACCGAUAGCGAAGGCAGCUUACUGGACCAUAACUGACACUGAGGCACGAAAGCGUGGGGAGCGAACAGGAUUAGAUACCCUGGUAGUCC